rnacentral:tRNA from 1 species
GCCGGCGUAGCUCAGUUGGUAGAGCAACUGAUUUGUAAUCAGUAGGUCAUCCGUUCGAGUCGGAUCGCUGGCACCA